rnacentral:lncRNA from 1 species
AGGAAGCAGCAGCCUCCGCUCCGCGGCGGGUGUGCUCGGCAGUCACAGACCCACUCAGGACACCUCCCGUUGCCGACGGGCUAGACCUGCCUUAAAGGGGUCCCCGUGUCUCUCCAGUCUAGAGCCUAAGUUCAAACGAGGCGUAUAGGCGAGGACAGCAGGAAGGCUCCAAGUCAAACAAACGGAUGGGAAGUGGUCUUGGGAAACCUGAAGACACUGGGAUAUUCAGAAGGCCAAGGGGAUCCAGCUUAUCCUGUUGGGCAAGGUGCUGGGAGUGAAGGCAGAGAUUCCACUGAUGAUUUCCAGGAACUACCAAAGCCACGGAUCAGCUGAGUUACCCGGGCUAAUAGCAGGAGGAAACAGUGUCAGAGAGGGAUCUGGCUGAUCUUCAACUCCACUAAGUUCUCCCCAAGGGUCUUGCUCCAUCACCCACGCUGGAGUGCAGUGGCACAAUCACAGCUCACUACAACCUCAACUUUCCUGGCUCAGUGAUUAUCCCACCUCAGCCUCCUGAGUAGCUGGGACUAACAGGCAUGUGCCAACAUGUCCCACUCAUUUUUUUUUUAUUUUUUGUAGAGAUGGGGUUUCACCAUGUUGUCCAGGCUGGUCUCAAACUCCUGGGCUCAAGCGAUCCUCCCUGCCUUGGCCUGUGCUGGGAUUACAGGUGUGAGCCACCGUGCUGGCCUCAGUACUAUUUUUUAUUGAUUAUAUGUUGAAAUAAUAAUAUUUUGGAUGUAGUGGUUUAAAAAAUUAUUUCAUCUGUUUCUCCUUACUUUUUAAUGUAGCUUCUAGAAAAUUUAAAAUUAUUUAAGUGG